rnacentral:rRNA from 1 species
UACGAAGGGGGCGAGCGUUGUUCGGAUUUACUGGGCGUAAAGGGCGCGUAGGCGGCCCCCCUAGUCGCGUGUGAAAGCCCCGGGCUCAACCUGGGAAUUGCGCGCGAAACGGGGGGGCUUGAGUUCGGGGAGAGGAGCGUGGAAUUCCCGAGUGUAGAGGUGAAAUUCGUAGAUAUUGGGAAGAACACCGGUGGCGAAGGCGGCGCUCUGGACCGAGACUGACGCUGAGGCGCGAAAGCGUGGGGAGCAAACAGGAUA